rnacentral:rRNA from 1 species
UACAGAGGGUGCAAGCGUUACUCGGAAUUACUGGGCGUAAAGCGUGCGUAGGCGGUUUGUUAAGUCUGUCGUGAAAGCCCUGGGCUCAACCUGGGAAUUGCGAUGGAUACUGGCAAGCUAGAGUACGGUAGAGGAUGGUGGAAUUCCCGGUGUAGCGGUGAAAUGCGUAGAGAUCGGGAGGAACACCCGUGGCGAAGGCGGCCAUCUGGACCAGUACUGACGCUGAGGCACGAAAGCGUGGGGAGCAAACAGG